UACGUAGGGUCCGAGCGUUACUCGGAAUUACUGGGCGUAAAGCGUGCGCAGGCGGUCUUGUAAGCCAGAUGUGAAAGCCCCGGGCUCAACCUGGGAACUGCAUUUGGGACUGCAAGGCUGGAGUACGGCAGAGGGAGGUGGAAUUCCACGUGUAGCAGUGAAAUGCGUAGAGAUGUGGAGGAACACCGAUGGCGAAGGCAGCCUCCUGGGCUAGUACUGACGCUCAUGCACGAAAGCGUGGGGAGCAAACAGG
rnacentral:rRNA from 1 species